UGCUCGUACGGCAGGAAGCCGCCGCGGCGGAAGUUCGCGCCGGUGAACGCGUCGGACGAGGUCACGAGGUUCCACGCCGCGCGCCCACC
rnacentral:tRNA from 1 species